rfam:Triticum aestivum genome assembly, contig: Triticum_aestivum_CS42_TGACv1_scaffold_373969_5AL
GAUAUACUCCCUCUGUCAGAAAAUCCUUGUCAUCCCAAGCUUGUUCCUCAAAUGGAUGUAUCUAGCACUAACUUGGUGCUAGAUACAUCCAUUUGAGGGACAAGCUUUUUCGGACGGAGGGAGUACUGA